rnacentral:lncRNA from 1 species
UGAGGUGAUAAAGGCCUUGAGACUCAUGUCCUAUGCCAAUCGUCUUCCUCGUACUCCGGUCCUGCAAGGUCACAAAUUUAUCACAAAAGGUAAUAGAGCAAUUAAGAGUACGAGUGAUUUUGCCGAUGGAAAUAAGAUUAAAAGGACAUUCAGGAGUAUAAAGGACAGAAGUGAGAGGUAGAGAAGGCAGAGGAAGGGCCAAACCAAUACCUUUAGCCACAGUUUGAGAACCAUUAGCUAAGGUAACAGUAGGUAAAGCAGAGGUAGUAGUAAUAGAGGAGAAAAAAUCCUUAUUACUAGAUAAGUGAUCAGA